rnacentral:tRNA from 1 species
GGUGAGAUGGCUGAAUUAGGUGAUAGACUGUAAAUCUAUUUAAGAGGGUUAACCCCUCUCUUACCA